rnacentral:rRNA from 1 species
UUGUUUGAAAAUUAGAAUUAAGAUUUUUAUAUAAGUACGGCGAUGGGUUAUAGUAAACAUAAAAAAUUUUGUAGAUCUUACCUUUUGUUUAAUGGUUGGAUUAAAAUUUAAUUAAUUAAUUGCUCCCGAAGUGAGAAGAGCCAUUCACUAGCUCUCUUUAGAGUAAACCCUUAUGUUGCAAUAUGAGUUGAAGACUAGUGAAUAGGGGCGAAAUACCUUCAAUUCUCAAGAUAUCUGGAAGUUUAGGAAAAGCAUAUAGUGCUUGAAAGUGAUAUAUAAAAUGGUUAGGUUUUAUAUAAAUAGAAUUUAAAAUGAGUUGUCGUUUUUUAGGGUUAAACUCCUUGAUAAAUGAUUAAGUAUAAAUUAAUUUGUUUAAAAUCUAUUUUUUACUAAAUUUUCUAUAGUAAUUUACCUGUAGGUUGAUAAUGUUCAAAUUAGUAAUAACUUUCUCACAUGAACGAUUUAUUAUCAUAUAUAAUAUUGUUUAUGGUAAAAUAAUUUAAAGGAACUCGGCAAAUAUAAACUUGGACUGUUUAACAAAAACAUAGCCAAUAGAAAAUAUUUUUGGUUUAACCUGCCCAAUGUGAAAUAUGAAUGGCCGCGGUACUUUGACCGUGCUAAGGUAGCGUAAUCAGUUGGCUUUUAAAUGGAGUCAGGAAUGAAUGGAAUAACCUGGUUUAGCUGUCUCUAAAUUAUUCAUUUGAAUUUACUGUUUAAGUGAAAAAGCUUAAAAUAGGAAAAGGGACGAGAAGACCCUUAGAAUUUUUUUUAAAAAGGAUUAACUUUAUGAUUUUGUUGGGGCGACAGAGAAAAAUUUAAAACUUUCCGUUAUUACAAGCCGAAUAUUUAAGUGAGGAUAAAUUACCUGAGGGAUAACAGCAUAAUUCUAAAAUUGAGUUUGUGACCUCGAUGUUGGACUAGGAAACUAGCAGAUCAGCCGUUUGCUGUGUGGGUUCUGUUCGAACUCUAAUUCCU